rnacentral:rRNA from 1 species
AACGCUAGCUACAGGCUUAACACAUGCAAGUCGAGGGGCAGCAUAAAAGUAGCAAUACUUUGGUGGCGACCGGCGCACGGGUGAGUAACGCGUAUGCAACCUACCUAUCAGAGGGGAAUAACCCGGCGAAAGUCGGACUAAUACCGCAUAAAACAGGGGCACCGCAUGGUGAUAUUUGUUAAAGAAAUUCGCUGAUAGAUGGGCAUGCGUUCCAUUAGGUAGUUGGUGAGGUAACGGCUCACCAAGCCGACGAUGGAUAGGGGAACUGAGAGGUUGGUCCCCCACACUGGUACUGAGACACGGACCAGACUCCUACGGGAGGCAGCAGUGAGGAAUAUUGGUCAAUGGGCGGGAGCCUGAACCAGCCAAGUCGCGUGAAGGAAGAAGGAUCUAUGGUUCGUAAACUUCUUUUGCAGGGGAAUAAAGUGCGGGACGUGUCCUGUUUUGUAUGUACCCUGAGAAUAAGGAUCGGCUAACUCCGUGCCAGCAGCCGCGGUAAUACGGAGGAUCCGAGCGUUAUCCGGAUUUAUUGGGUUUAAAGGGUGCGUAGGUGGUUUGAUAAGUCAGCGGUGAAAGUUUGCAGCUUAACUGUAAAAAUGCCGUUGAAACUGUCGGACUUGAGUGUAAAUGAGGUAGGCGGAAUGCGUGGUGUAGCGGUGAAAUGCAUAGAUAUCACGAAGAACUCCGAUUG